rnacentral:lncRNA from 1 species
AACCUUGAUGCUCUGAAUAUUUGCUUGAGAGGAGACGAGACGUGUGACAACGCAUGAUGAACCUGAAAGAGGAAAAUGAGCGAUCUUAAUGCUCUGAAUUGCUACUAGACAUGCCACAAUGCACGACGAAAAAGGAGCAAAUGCAUAACUUUAAAAGGUGCUAAGAUCGUGUAGGAGCUCCGAUGAAGGCGUCGUUGAUGACAUGAUGGUCGCCUAGUCGAGACGAUCAAAACCAUGUGAUCAUCGGUCAAAACUUGAUAUUUGAUAGUGGCAGUGAUAGACGACGACGCCGCCAGCAACAAUAGGUGGUGCCACCGUCGACAGUGACAAAUGUAGUGAGAGAGGCAUUAAAAACUUUUUUCUCAAACGAACCUGAUAC